GACCAGAGCUAUUUCCUGGAUGGAGAAGGCAGCUUGUUCGCUUUGUUCUCUUGGGUUGAUUUAGAGCCUGGAGUUUCCUAGGUGAAGUAUCUGAUGCUCCAAGGUUACAUUAAAGCAUCUGCCCAACUCGCAAGAAAGAACUGGAGUUCAAAAUGAAGUCAGACCGCGGACACAAAAAGACCUACUGUGCCCCUCAGCCUCUCUAAUACCCGUGCCAUCGGGAUCACGGAGCAUCAGGAAAACCGACGGAGCCCCUUGAAUCUUCCACAGCUAUGCCACCCCAUGGCUUCUCCUCUGCUACGGAGGGCAAUGCGAUCAAGCUUAAUUAAAAGAAACUCAGCCAGAGAACUGCUCCAAACUUCAAUAUACAAGGGAAGCCAUAGGCCUACUGCUGAAGGACCCAUCAGGGUGUGGAACAGUGAACAAAAAUGCAUAUUUGUUAAUGGAAGCAUGCUCUGGCUUCCCCCAGCUCCUGAGAUCUUGUAUCUCCACAGUCAGAAGAAUUCAGAUUGAAAGCCAAAGCUCCAAGAGACUGAGUAACUGCCUGACCAUCCCUGCCGGAAGAAGCAGGGAAGCUGAGAGAUUGAUUUCUGCAUAUCCAGGCUAUCUCGGCACGAGGCCUAGCUGUCCUGCAACGUCUUGCAAACCUUGAGCACUGUCACGCAGUCUGAAACACACGACCUUCAAGUAGGAAAUAAAUCUUUUUAAACGAGUGUGAGAAGCACACAGAUCUUGAUGAAGUCCGUGUCCCACUUUUGCCAAAAGCAGAGAACAUACUGUCCAGGGUCAUCAAGAUGGGAAGCCAAGGCCGUACUGAACAAGGGGCCUGCUAGAGCCCUAACUGGGAUGCUGGCAUUACUCUAUCCUCACAGGAGAUGAGAGGACUGGAUGAUGGUGCACGGAGAGACCUCUCGAUUCUCAGAAGCACAUGGAGGCCGGGAGUGCAAUGACAAUAUCACGCUUCCACCAGGACACGUGGGGUGGGGUAGCCGAGUUACAGCCAAGAUAAUGCCUAUAUUUGGCUGCUGAGACAGAGAAAAAUCUUUAACUUUUGCUUUAAUAAAAUGCACAAUUUUGCAUGUUUUUAAAAGAACAAAA